GUGUGUGUCUGCGGAAGAGGAUGCCUCAUGGAACAUGUUCCUGAGGCUGAUGAUUUCUUUCGUCUGGUUCUCACUGGUGGGUGGCAGGCCUUCCCAAGAACUGCAGGUCCACUAGGGAGCCACUUGGACCUUCGGAUCCGGAGGAACUUGGCGGAGGCUAACACGCGGCAAAAGAUCCUUCUUCUUUCUUCCUUGAUAAGAAGUAAAAGGAACUGCUUGACUUCAAGGGAUUCAUGGGCUUUAGAAUCAGAAACAUCUAGGUUUGAAUCCGUGUUCCAGCCUUGUGCUGUGGGACCUUAGAUGCUUCUGUGCUUCUUCCAGAAAAUGAGAUUAGCAACGUCCCUCUUACUGUGGGGCUGGACGGUAAAGGCUUUUCAGUUCCAAAAGCCAAGACCCUUCUGCUAUGUGACACUCCUCCAAGGUAAAACGUAUAAUGAUGCAAAAUAGCAUUUCCCAAAGUGACAAAAAUACAGUCUUGCAAGCCUACCUUCCUGUCUCUUGGGGUACAGGUCGUCCACAGCUGACAGUGUCACUGAGGCAGGGACGGGAUGCGGUGGGAAUAAAGGAAUGAGGUGAGGUGACCCCCA
rnacentral:lncRNA from 1 species